rnacentral:rRNA from 1 species
AUUGAACGCUGGCGGCAGGCCUAACACAUGCAAGUCGAACGAGUGGCGGACGGGUGAGUAAUGUCUGGGAAACUGCCCGAUGGAGGGGGAUAACUACUGGAAACGGUAGCUAAUACCGCAUACCAUCGGAUGUGCCCAGAUGGGCUUAGCUAGUAGGUGGGGUAACGGCUCACCUAGGCGACGAUCCCUAGCUGGUCUGAGAGGAUGACCAGGCACACUAGAACUGAGAAACGAGCCAGACUCCUACGGGAGGCAGCAGUGGGGAAUAUUGCACAAUGGGCGCAGGCCGGAUGCAGCCAUGCGGCGUGUAUGAAGAAGGCCUUCGGGUUGUAAAGUACUUUCAGCGAGGAGGCGUUACUCGGAGGAGAAGCACGGGCUAACUGCGUGCCAGCCGCCGCGGUAAUAC